ACCCAGCACGCGUAGUAGGUGGUCAAGAAAUCUUUGUUGAGUGAGUGAAAUCACUGUUCAGUGUUACUUCUGCGCCCUCAGACCAGUAGGGGAAAUAGAGAAGCCACCAUUUAUACAAUAGACUUGCUACGAGGAAAAGCCGAGAUUGCAGACCCACAACCUCCCUCGCGCUGCCUGGACACUCCGACAGCCGCUGCGACUCCUGGUGGACCAGGAGGAGAGCUGCAGGUAGUGAGAGACCCAGACCGAGACCGCAGAAGGGACUUUGGCUCGGAGACUCGACCUGCAAACCAGCUCAGCCCCGUGCCUUCCCCCAUCCCAGCCCCCAGCCUGCCCGGGCGGGUCUUGUCUUGGUUCUUACUUUGGGCUACCUCCCACCACAAAGUUGUGCGCCUGUGUUGGCUCUCAGCAUCGCCACCCUCAGGCAAACAUCUGUGCUCAGUGGCGGGAGCCGUCUGAGGUGUCUGUCUGUCUGCCUGCCUGUCUGGGAAAUUCCCCUCGUGAGUCCUUUCUGGAAAUUCCUCGAGGACAGGAUUAACCCUCUGAGGGCCGUGGGGGAGACCCAGCCUCUGGAGGUAGGUGCUGUCCACCUGUGGGGCACUGUUGGCCUGGAGGUACCAUUCCCAGUCUGGACCGUGCAGAGCUACUUGGUUGCUACUGCCUUGCUGAGCGCCCUGUGGUUUGGGGUGGGGAAGGCCAGAACCACAAGGCUCUGGGACACAGCCAACCUGGCACAGCCUCUAAGGGCAUCACUGGGCAGUGGGAUGAGGCAGGGCGCAGAGGAGGUGAUACAGAGCUUGAAGCAGUCUCUGCUCCUCUCCCUAUGUCAUUAUGAAAAAUGAAGUGUAUGUUUCCCAUUUUAUUAGUAAUGUGUGUAUAUUUUUCACAAGUUGAACAAGAGAACAGGAGAAUAAAGGGGAACCACCAGCUACUGUGAACAUCUUCAACCCUUCCCUGGCAGCUUUUUGUUUGUAAGGUUUUGUUUGCUUGCUUUUAGAUAUUGUGUUAAAUAUGACUCAUUUCUAUCUUGUAAUUCUUUUUUCCCCUUUAACUUUACGACAGAAGAUAUUUUCAUGUAUAAACUCUUUGUAAACAAUAUUAAAAAAUAUUUUUAAAGUUUA